rnacentral:rRNA from 1 species
CCCUUAGAUGUUCUGGGCCGCACGCGCGCUACACUGACCAGUGCAACAAGCAUCCGUCCUUGGCCGACAGGCUCGGGCAAUCUUUGAACGCUGUUCGUGAUUGGGAUAGACCUUUGCAAUUAUGGGUCUUCAACGAGGAAUUCCUAGUAAACGCAAGUCAUCAGCUUGCAUUGAUUACGUCCCUGCCCUUUGUACACACCGCCCGUCGCACCUACCGAUUGAAUGGUCCGGUGAAAUCUCGGGACGGCGGCUUGGUCGCUUGCGUCCGACUGCUGAAACUUGAUUAAACCAUAUCAUUUAGAGGAAGGUGAAGUCGUAACA